rnacentral:rRNA from 1 species
CGAUAUCAAUAAGCGGAGGAAAAGAAAAUAACAAUGAUUCCCUUAGUAACGGCGAGUGAAGGGGGAAAAGCUCAAAUUUUAAAUCGGCGCAGGUUCUACCUGGUCGAGUUGUAAUUUGAAGAAGCGUUUUCCGCGUCCAGGUUGGCCCAAAUCCUUUGGGAUAAGGUAUCAUGGAGGGUGAGAAUCCCGUCCGGCUGACCUUCAGGACGUUUUACGAUACGCUCUCAAAGAGUCGAGUUGUUUGGGAUUGCAGCUCAAAAUGGGAGGUAAAUUUCUCCUAAGGCUAAAUACCGGCGAGAGACCGAUAGCGAACAAGUACCGUGAGGGAAAGAUGAAAAGAAUUUUGAAAAGAAAGUCAAACAGUACGUGAAAUUGUUGAAAGGGAAACGAUUGAAGCCAGUCGUACCGACGGGGAUUCAACUUCUCGAGUGCUAAUCGUGGGUGACGUUGAGCCUCACGGCCUUCGUUGCUUGUGUUGUUGGUGCUUUUGGGGUGUACUUUUCCGUAUUGGUAGGUCAGCAUCGAUUUCGAUCGUCAUAAAAUGAUCGGGGGAAUGUAGCUUCGGUCUCGUAUCGGAGUGUUAUAGACCUUGGUAGAUGUGACGAUUGGGAUCGAGGAUUGCAACGAAUACCCUCUGGGCUAUCCGUCUGACCCCUGAAAGUCGCUCGGGUGUCGAAAGCGUGCUUAUGGCUAUUCGAGUUGGCGGUCAACAGGUUAGAACGUGAUUACAUUCGUUAAGGAUGUUGACGUA